rnacentral:lncRNA from 1 species
CUCUGCAUGCCAACUUGAUCAUUCUGCCACAUUUAGAAAUCAAUGUUAGGCUAUAUGGCUCUAAGAAUUUGCACUGAAACAUGGAGCAACAAAAGACACAGGAGUUUGGUUGAAUUCCCGUAGUGGCUAGCUACUGCGUCUGCACCUGAUAGCAGUUACAAAAUAACAAUAACACUAAACUACCAGUAAUGGUGGUAUAGCAGGAGUAGGCAGAUGGAGCAAAUUGAAAGAGGUUGGAAUUCAAAAGCUAAUAACAAUGUUG